rnacentral:rRNA from 1 species
AGGCCUAACACAUGCAAGUCGAACGGUAACAGGAAGCAGCUUGCUGUUUCGCUGACGAGUGGCGGACGGGUGAGUAAUGUCUGGGAAACUGCCUGAUGGAGGGGGAUAACUACUGGAAACGGUAGCUAAUACCGCAUAACGUCGCAAGACCAAAGAGGGGGACCUUCGGGCCUCUUGCCAUCGGAUGUGCCCAGAUGGGAUUAGCUAGUAGGUGGGGUAACGGCUCACCUAGGCGACGAUCCCUAGCUGGUCUGAGAGGAUGACCAGCCACACUGGAACUGAGACACGGUCCAGACUCCUACGGGAGGCAGCAGUGGGGAAUAUUGCACAAUGGGCGCAAGCCUGAUGCAGCCAUGCCGCGUGUAUGAAGAAGGCCUUCGGGUUGUAAAGUACUUUCAGCGGGGAGGAAGGGAGUAAAGUUAAUACCUUU